AGGUCAUUUGUCAAUCUGUUGUUUCAUUGGUUAAUCAAUAAAGAAAACUGCUUGGUCUGAUAGGUCAGAAAAUUAGGUGGGUGGAAUAGACAGAACAGAAUGCUGGGAAGAAGGGAAGGUAGCCAGACACCAUGCUGCUCCUCUCCAGGGCAGACAUGAUGAAGCUCCAGCCCAAGAUGGACGUAAGCUAGAAUCUUCCUGAUUUUAACACAGGACCUGUCAAGGCACCAUUGCAUUGAUUCCAGUCAUGACUCGGAAACAGCACCAAUUGCUGGUUAACAGGUCCAGCCGUACAGCACCACCACAGUGGCAACUGGGUUUCAACACAGAUUUUGGAGAUACAAGUAUUCAGACCCAUUGCAGAACAGAAAGAACUUUCUGGAGUGGUGCAAAUUAGAGUAUUUGUUGCACAGGCAAAUACAUUGAUCAUGCUUGGUGACGACCUAAACACUCAAAAUCAGUGCAUUUCAUCAGAUCCACAUUACAGCACAAAAAUCAGCAGUUAAAAGUUUUGGUCUUUACAGAAGGUAGCAAUGAGCUUUGGGGACAAUUGCUGCUGCUUAUUUAUCCUGGCUCCUUUCACCUGGACCCUGCUUCAAAAUCAAAGAGAGGAGCAAAGAGUGAAGCAGUCACACGGGAGUCUGUGAAAUCCUGGUGGUUCCUGUGUGUCUGCCUGGCUGUAGCUGUUUGAAGAAGGGGAAAAGCUAAAGGUCGAUUCCACAGGGUCCUCUUGAAGAUUCGUCUUCUCGUUCAAGCCAUCCAGCAACACCACCCAGUCUCACAAGGAUUCCCUGUCAAAGGCUUCGGGCGACAUCGAGACAUAAGCACCAUUUACAGGAUUAAAAAUUGACGUUUCUAAGGCCUACUGCUCUACAGAUUUGUGGAUCCUAUAUGUGGAUUGGGGGAAAGCAACCUGCCAUCUCAGUCACCAAAAAUAAAACUGAAACGAGUAACUAAAGGAGUUAUUGACUCCAGCUAAGGAACCGUGAACAGUAAUUACUUCGCACCGUUUUUUCUUAUGAUAUUUUGAGCCUCAAAAUUACACUUGAAGACAAGCCUCGUCCUCUACUUAAAGACUAUAAAAUUGAAGAACAGACUUUAAAUAACUUCAAAGUGUCAUGUAGCUGUUAAGAAAAAGAAACAGAAUAGGUGUUCGCAUGCUUUCCUAAUGACUUCACCUGGUCCCUGGCCUUUACCAAGACUGCCCUUUCAUACCCAGACCUUUCUUGAACAUCACUCAAGAAAAUGGGUCAUCACUUAGCACCCCUUCAAUACACCAGUUGCCACCGAACAGGAGUCACCCCACUGUCUCCAGUCCAAACUCAACACCAACUCUCUCAAAGACUACACUGAAAGAACUUUCAUACUUCUCCUACCUGGCCUCAAAUCAAUCACGUUUGCACAGCAAAAGAAAAAUGAGACUCACACUCAAAAUAUGUGUGAUAGAAACUCUCUUAUUAGAUGCACAACCAAUGAAAUUAUGCCACUUGCCCAGUUCCCAUCACAAAAACACAAAUAAUAGAAAAGACCAAGGCAAUCAACAACCCCCAAAAGGCCACUAGCCCCAUAGAAAUGUUCCACAAUGAGAACUACCUAGGAGACCCUCAGAACACAGAAUUUAAAAGAACAAUUUUUAAAAUGAUUAAGAACUUGUGUAAUUUAAAGAGGUCACAAAAACAUGAAUGAACUUAAAGGGAACAGGAAUAAACCCCAGAUUGAAAUCCAAGAAAACACAAACAAAUCACUCAAUGAAACAGGAAUGAAAUUCAGGAUUGGAAAGGUGAAUUCAAUAAGAUACAAAUAAGGAAGAACACACAAGCUAAAAUAAAAAAAAUGGAAUUGAUAAAAUUGAUAACUAUAUUGGAAACACAGUCAAAUCUGGAUCACACAGAAGACAACUGAGACCCAACGACAAAAUAGAGGAAUUGAACCAAUCAAUGAGACCCAAAGACAAAAUAGAGGAAUUGAACCAAUCAAUCAUAGAAAUGCAGAAGAAGAGAGAGCACGAGCAAGGAACUCAGGAUCCCGAGGGGUGGACCCACACACUGAGACAAUGGGGAUGUUCUAUCGGGAACUCACCAAGGCCAGCUGGACUGGGUCUGAAAAAGCAUGGGAUAAAACCAGACUCGCUGAACAUGGCGAACAAGGAGGACUGCUGAGAAGUCAAGAACAAUGGCACUAAGUCUUGAUCCUACUGCAUGUACUGGCUUUGUGGGAGCCUAGGAUGUUUGGAUCUUCACCUUACUAGACCUGGAAGGAGGUGGGAGGUCCUUGGACUCCCCACAGGGCAGGGAACCCUGACUGCUCUUUGGGCUGGUGAGAGAAGGGGAGUAGAUUGGGGGAGGGAGGAAAAUGGGAGAUGGUGGCAGGGAGGAGACAGAAAUCUUUAAUAAAUAAAUAAAUAAUAGUAAAAAUAAAUAAAUUACAUGAAAAGAAUAUGAAAGAACUUGAGAGAGAGACCAAAUGUAUAAAUUAUAGACACUGACAAGAAAUUAUAAUUCCAGAUCAAUGGCAUAGAUGUGACCAAUACAGAUGUUGUAGUGAUAGGCAUGGCAGGCUACAUUCCUGGCACCUGGCCACCCGCACGGCUAGCUUUACCCAAAAUAAUUACACAGAAACUGUAUUCUUUUGAACACUGCCUGGCCAAAUAGUUCCAGCUUCUUAUUGGGUAGCUCUUACAUAUUGAUCUAACCCAUUUCUAAUAUUCUGUGUAGCACCACGAGCUGGCUUACCGGGAAAGAUCUUAACCUGCGUCUGUCUGGAGUGGGAGAAUCAUAGUGACUGCCUGACUCGGCUUCUUUCUCCAAGCAUUCUGUUCUGUCUACUCUGCCAACCUAAUUUUCUGUCCUAUCAGGCCAAGCAGUUUUCUUUAUUAGUUAACCAAUGAAAGCAACAGAUAGAUAAAGACCCACCUCCAUCAAGAUGUGACGCAUAAAACACUAAAUAGAUAGGUCUGGAGAAGCACCCUACAUCAUCCUAUAGCUAGAAUAUUAGAUAAAUAGAACAAACAAACAAAUGGAAGUGUAAGAGAAAACCCACAAGUCACAAGUAAAGGCCAAUCCAUCAGAAUAACUGAUUUGGUGAUGGAAACUUUUAAAGUCAGGAGAACUUUGAACUUCAAGCUCUAAAAGACUAUAAGUGCAAACUUAGACUAUUGACCCAGCAAAACUAAUCUGCUGUGGUUGAAGGAGAAAGAAAAACUUACCAUGAUAUAAACAGGCUAAAGAAGCAAUGUCUACCAAACCAACACUACAGAAAAUACUAGAAUCAGUACUUGAACUGUAGAGAGGAGUAAGUACAGUCAAGAAACCAGAGUAAACAAAUGAAGAUAUAAUUACUAAUAUACAGAAUGAGACUACAAAAUACAACAAAAUGACAGCAAUCAGUAUACACCUUUCAGUAAUGACUUUGAAUAUUAGUGCCAUCAAGUGUCCAAUCAAAAUAUGCCAUGUAAUCAAUUAGGUUAAGAAGCAAUUUUAAGCUCUUUUCUGUCUACAAACGCACCUCACUUUCAAGAACAAGCAGCACUUUAAAUUUUCUUUAAGGAUGGAAAAAAAUUCCAAGCAAAUAUGACCAGAAAACACAGGCAUCACUAUCUUAAUACCUGAUGAAAUAAAUUUUAAACCAAAAUUAAACAGAAAAGAUAAAGGAAGACAAAUCAUUAUGAUCAAUAGAACAAUGAACCAAGACAAUAUUAUAAUCCUAAGCAUAUUAGUAUUAAAUUCUGGCAAACCCAAUUUUAUUUUUUAAAAAUAGUACUACUAGACUUCAAGGUACAGAUCAAUCUCAACCAAGUUCUAGUGCAUGAUCUUAAAACCACACUUCCUCCAAUAGAUAGGUUAUCAGCCUAAAAGAUAAGCAGAGAGACAGGGUUAUUAAAGGGCAUCAAAUAAGCCUAAUAUAUAUCUGUAGAACAUUGCACUCAAAUCCCACAGAAUGCAUGCUCUAUUAAACAUCCUUUGGAAGUCUCUCUAAAAUGGAUCAUGUAUUGGAUAUAAAGCAAAUCGCAAAAAAUGGAAAAAUUGAAAUAACUCCAUUUAUCUUAUCAGACUAUAAUGUAAAAUAUAACAAAAAAUAAAAGAAUCUACAGAAGUUAAGCAAACUUAUGAAGAUUAACAACACGCUACUGAGUGUUGAAUGGAUCAGAGAAGAAAUAAAGAAGAAAAUAAAAAAUUCCCGUGAAUAAACAAAAAUGGAAACACAGCAAACACAAACCUCUGGGAUACACUAAGGUCAGUUUAACAGGAAAAUUUAAAUCAAGCAAUGCCUAUGUUUAAAAAUCAGAAAGAAUGCAAAUAAAUAACUUAAUGAUGCAUUUCAAGCCAAACCCUCCAAAACAAUGUAUAUAUAUGUGUGUGUGUGUGUGUGUGUGUGUGUGUGUGUGUGUGUGUGUAAUCUAAGAGUUGGUUCUUUGAAAAGAUAAGCAAGAUUAAGAGAUCUUUAGCUGAAUUAAUCAAACGAAAGAGGACACCAAAACUAAUGAAAUUAGAAAUAAAUGAGAAAAUCUUAUAUACUAAAGAAAGACAGAAAAAUCACAAGGGAAUAUUUAAAAAACCCAUACCACAUUAAGUUUGAAAACCUAAAAGAAAUUAAUGAAUGUCUAGAUAUAUCCAGACCACCAAAAUUAAAUCAAUAAGAAAUCAAUAACUUAAGUAGACUAACAGAGAUUGAAACAACAACAAAAAAGUCCCAACGAAAGGAGAACAAUGAGAAAAGAGGUUGAAGUGGGGAAAGAGAUGAGAGUGUAGGGUCUUGGGCUAGAAUUAUCUCAGGGCCUGUACCUCAAGGCCUGUAGGACAGAGAAAAGCCUGGCUUGAGUUUGAAGAAAAGUCUUAAGGCUACUGAGCGGGGAUGAGACAUCAAAAUCUAGGUAGACACCCCUCCAGCCAGAGAGAGGGCUUGGCUGUCUCUCAUUGGCUGGAGAUAUCCCCACCUCGCAUGAUGUCAAUUAACUUAUAUAAGCUGAUGCUCACAAUAAUAAACUGAGUUCCUGCUUUGACUUGACUCCCUAUUGCAUAUUAUUGUCCUGCAUUGUGGGGCUGUGGAACAGGAGGAUAGCACACUCACCUUUCCAUGAGGAAUAAGGCUAAUGAGGUUGGGGUGACUGGUCCCAGGGCAAAGUAGUCAAUCAAGGUGAGUGGGACCCCAUGAUGGGUAACACAACUUCACACAAAAAUGACCCAGCACAGGCUGGCCUCGAACUCGUGAUCCUCCUGCCUCUGCCUCCUUCAGCAAAUCCUACCGGCAUGCGCCACCACUACCGGCCUCAAUAAAAUAAAAAAAAUGAAAAAAAAAUGACCCAGCACUUAAGGCACUGAGGUAUAAGCUACUCCCAGAGGCCUGGACUUGUCAGACCACAAUGCAAAGCAGAUAUGGGAGGAUAUAAUUACCCUGGCCCCCUGGUACCCACUGGAAAUCUUUUCUCAUAAGACAUGUGGAACCAGGUGUGAUGUGGGAGUCUUCUGUUUUGUGUUGAUUUCAUUGGUUAAAUAAAGAUACUGCCUUGGCCCUUUAAUAGGACAUAAAAUUAGGUAGGCAGAGUAAACAGAACAGAAUGCUGGGAGAAAGAAGCCGAGUCAGUGAGUCGCCAUGGUUCUCCCACUCCAGACAGAAGCAGGUUAAGAUCUUUCCUGGUAAGCGCACCUCGUGGUGCUACAUAGAUUAUUAGAAAUGGGUUAAGAGGCUGAAACUAAUGGGCCAGGCAGUGUUUAAAAGAAUACAGUUUCUGUGUAAUUAUUUCGGGGCAUAAGCCAGCCGUGCGGGCGGCUGGGUGCCAGGAAUGCAGCCCCGCCACUUCUAUUUCAACACAGGUGGAGACUCUGGCCAGAGAAAAGGAAAAACAAUUUGAUAGACCUACACCAUUGGGAUUCUAUUGAACUAUUAUAGCCUUUAAGGCAUGUUUUUACCCCCACUGCUCUGCCUCCCCUCCAAGGCAGGUAAGGAAAAGGUUAGAGACAGGGAGAGGUCUAAAGAAUCCAAAAAUAACCAAUUAACCAAAAGAAUGGGAGAAAAGAAGACAGACAAGGGGGAAGAUCAAAAAUGGCUGCAAUUUACUGAAGAGUGGUCUCAGGAAGAAGGAAUAAGGCAGGCAGAAGCAAAGACAAAAAGGAAAGUAGAUAAUAUCUGUGACAAGAAGUGGCCACCUCCUUAUGCCCUCAGCCACCCUGGAAAUGAUAAAAUGGAAAAGGGGAAAGGGACAAUUAAGAAGGCUCCAUGCUUGCCAGGAGAAAAUGAAAAUGCUCUUGGGUGGGUCCAGAUGGAGACAAAGGAAAGUUCAGGCCUCUGAUCCUCCCAGGUUUGUUUGCAAACCUCCUGGGACAAGAUUUCUUAGGACAAAUGGAUGCCAUUAUUACCAUUGACCACCUAGCAUUUUAUAUGACAAAAGUGAGCAAAGUGUCAUAAAGGCAGACCACUGACACCUGGAUUCACACCCAAAAGUAGAGGCCAAUGCUCCCAGGGUAAGUCAAUAUGGGUGGAUCAGUGGUCAUUACCUGAACUUAAACUUAAGAUGAUCAAAGAAACGACCAGAAAUCUGCUUAAAAGAAGGAAAGAUAAGGCCCUUGAUGGGCCCCUGGAACAGCCCUGUGUUUGGGAUACAAAAACCUAAUGGGACCUGGAAAAUAUUACAGGAUCUAGGAGCAAACAAUGCCCGUACAGAUCUAGUAGGGACCCCUUUAAAAGGGCUUACCUUAGGUCUUAGAAAUCUGCUCCCAGUUUUACCUAACUGUAAUGGAGCUAAAUGACUGCUUCUCAAUUAGUCUUCAUGAGGAGGAUUGUGAAAAGUUCACCUUUUCUAUUCCUACAGUUAACUCCUCUCAACCUGACAAGAGAUAGAAAUGGGCUAUUCUCCCACAGAUGGCCAAUAGUCUGGCCUUUUGCCAAGCAUAUUUUUAUAGUAUUCUCUCUGCUUAUUUUGACAAAGAUAAUACCCUUCUACAUGUUUAUAUGGAUGUUGUAAUUAUUGGGCAUUUGGAGGAAUCAGGGCUAGCUCCCUGGGUAAACCAUAUUGUUGAUAUCCUCCAACAAUAUGGUUUUAAAAUAGCCCCAAACAAAAUACAAAAGGUACCCUCACUUCAAAUAUUGGGAUCCCAAUUAACACUCACUGGAGCCAAAGUAAAUGGACCCUAAUCAGUCCUGCCUGAGCCUCUCACUUUAUGGAGGUUACAAAAGAUACUGGCUGUCUGUAGAGACUUGGAGACUAGAUGUGAUAUAUGAUUUCCUAAAAGGAAGACAACCUUAUGAGAUCAUUUCCUUGCCCCCUGAGGGUCAUCAGGCACUCACUGAAUUCAUCAACGAGCUCCAUCUGGCUUCUUUGGAGAGACAUAAUCCUACCAUUCCAAUCCAAGGCUGGAUAUUAUUAGGGAGGAAGGCCAUGCUGGCUGCCAUUGUUCAGCAGUCACAACCACUAGAAUGAAUGGGGCCGCCUUUGUAGUUUUCCCUGCAGUGGGGACCAAGACAAAGAUUACCAAAAUUCGCCCUUGUGGGGGAUCCACUUAAUAUAAGUAAAUGGUGGCUGUAUUAAUUGCCCUACAGGAGGUCGCAGAACCCUGCAACCUCUAUUCAGACAGCUCUCAUGUGGUAAACCUACUGCCACACUUACCCUUUGUCUAUAUCACAUUGGAUGCUAAUCCUAUGUCUGCCUUGAUGAUACGACUCAGAGGAAAAAAAAAAACAUAUAUAUUCAACAUCUCAGAGGACACCAAAACCUCACUGGCCUCAUUUCCCAAGGGAAUGCUGCUGCAGAUGCUGCAGCUUCAGGGGCCUGUCUCAGAGAGGUCUCCCCACCCUGUAAAGCAGCAAGAAGAAUGACACUUAUCUAAUGAGGUUAUUGUGAUGAUUAGUUUAUUAACUAAAAACAUGGGUAGCACAUACAAAUCCUUCUAUUUUUUUGACUUGAUAAUAAUUAUUAUUAUGCAAUCAUAUCUUUUGACCACAACUUCUCUUCCUCAUUUGCUAACUUCUUAUUUUCUCUAAAUUACUUUGCUCAGGGUGUUCAAGGAAAUUUUUUUGGCCUCAGUUUUCCAAGCUUAUCUGGCUUUUUUGCCCCGCCCAACUUCUCUCAUCUCCCUUCCCUUCCUUCUCUUCCUGUUCUUGUUUUCUUUAUUUCUCUGUUUCUCUCUCUCUUUGUCACUCUCCCUCUCCCUCUCCCCCACCCCGUGUGUGUGUGUGUGUGUUUGUGUGUGUGUUUGUGUGUGUGUGUGUGUUCAGAGGAUAGAAUCUAGGGCCUAGCAUAUGCUAGACAGGCACUUUAUCAUUGAGAUUGAGCUAUCCCCCUAGAUCCUAGAUGCUCUGUCUUUUCUAUUAAAUGUCUUUUUGCUAGUAAAAUUAGUAAAUCAGCUAAGAGGCAUAGAUUUAAAAAAAAAACUUACAUGAACUAUACACAUUGUCUAAUCUGUAGUUCCCAAAGUAGGAUCUAUGGUAAUCUUGUCAUGUGUGAGACCCUAGGUUCAAUUUCCAGAAAAGAGGGAGUUCAAUACAUGCAAACAUAGAUACAUACAUAUAUAUGUAUAUACAUACAUAUAGCCAGGAAAUUCAGAAGCUCUUUCAUGUCAUCUCCUCUUACUUCACAGAAGAGUGACCCAGAGGAAGGCAACAGUUGACUAAAGGUUUCAAAUGUAAGUGGAAAAAACUGGCUUCCAGGAAAGUCAGGGUAAACUGACCUCAUAGAAGUCAUUUUGCUUUUCUUAAUUUUGUUUAUUUUAUCGUACAUAUAUGUAUAUGGAUGUUUUGGCUACAUGUAUGUAAGUACACCAGGUGUGCACAUAUCCACAGAGGCCAGAAGUCCUCAGAUUGUCUAGGUCAGGAGUUACAGACUAUUGUGGCCAUCACGUGGGUUUUUGGAAUCACAGACUUGUGAGCCACUGUGUGGAUGCUGGGAAUCACAGACUUGAGAGCCACAGUGUGGGUGCUGGGAAUCACAAACUUGUGAGCCACCACGUGGUCCUUGGAAUCCCAGAUUAUGAGCCACCAUGUUGGUGCUGGGAAUCAAAUCCGGAUCAUUUGCAAGCACAAGUACCCUUUAACUACAGAGCUCAUUGAGCUUAUUUUAUUCGAUCUUACCAUUAAGAUGGAACUAAAAAGCUUUAUCAAAUUAAAUCAGAGUAUAUUGAUAAAGGGUGAUACAGAUUUGGCACAAUUUUGGAUUCAUUAAGUAUUAAUUUUCACCCUUAAUCAGACUGACCAGCAUUCCAUAGAAAGACAUUGCCUCUCAAAGCCUAGAAUGAGGGUGUUGUGCUAAUUUGUGCAGCUUAUGAAAUUGUUUGUUAUUUAUUACAUUAGCUGUUUUCCCUAGUCCUGUGAAAAAGCAACAUAA